GAUGAACGCUGGCGGCGUGCCUAAUACAUGCAAGUCGAGCGAACGGACGAGAAGCUUGCUUCUCUGAUGUUAGCGGCGGACGGGUGAGUAACACGUGGAUAACCUACCUAUAAGACUGGGAUAACUUCGGGAAACCGGAGCUAAUACCGGAUGAUAUUUUGAACCGCAUGGUUCAAAAGUGAAAGACGGUCUUGCUGUCACUUAUAGAUGUAUACGCGCUGCAUUAGCUGGUUGGUAAGGUAACUGCUUACCAAGGCAACGAUGCAUAGCCGACCUGAGAGGGUGAUCGGCCACAGUGGAACUGAGACCCGGUUCAGACUGAUACGGGGGGCAGCAGUCGGCGAUCUUCCGCAAUGGGCGAAAUUCUGACAGAGCAACGCCGCGUGAGUGGUGAAGGUCCUCGGAUCGUAAAGCUCUGUGAGUAGGGAACAACAUAUGUGUAAGUAACUGUGCACAUUUUGGCGGUCCCUAAACAGAAAGCCACGUAUCACUGCG
rnacentral:rRNA from 1 species